GGCCUCGUGGCCCAAUGGCAAGGCGUUUGACUACGAGACAAGAUGCGAUAUAAUUAUUGGUCUUUGACGCAAUCAAGAGAUUCUGGGUUCGACCCCCAGCGAGGUCA